ACCCGCUGAACUUAAGCAUAUCAAUAAGCGGAGGAAAAGAAACCAACAGGGAUUGCCCUAGUAACGGCGAGUGAAGCGGCAACAGCUCAAAUUUGAAAUCUGGCUCUUUUAGAGUCCGAGUUGUAAUUUGCAGAGGGCGCUUUGGCUUUGGCAGCGGUCCAAGUUCCUUGGAACAGGACGUCACAGAGGGUGAGAAUCCCGUACGUGGUCGCUGGCUAUUGCCGUGUAAAGCCCCUUCGACGAGUCGAGUUGUUUGGGAAUGCAGCUCUAAAUGGGAGGUACAUUUCUUCUAAAGCUAAAUAUUGGCCAGAGACCGAUAGCGCACAAGUAGAGUGAUCGAAAGAUGAAAAGCACUUUGGAAAGAGAGUCAAACAGCACGUGAAAUUGUUGAAAGGGAAGCGCUUGCAGCCAGACUUGCUUACAGUUGCUCAUCCGGGCUUUUGCCCGGUGCACUUUUCUGUAGGCAGGCCAGCAUCAGUUUGGGCGGUAGGAUAAAGGUCUCUGUCACGUACCUCUCUUCGGGGAGGCCUUAUAGGGGAGACGACAUACUACCAGCCUGGACUGAGGUCCGCGCAUCUGCUAGGAUGCUGGCGUAAUGGCUGU
rnacentral:rRNA from 1 species